rnacentral:rRNA from 1 species
AUUGAACGCUGGCGGCAUGCCUCACACAUGCAAGUCGAACGGCAGCACAGGAGAGCUUGCUCUCUGGGUGGCGAGUGGCGGACGGGUGAGGAAUACAUCGGAAUCUACUUUUUCGUGGGGGAUAACGUAGGGAAACUUACGCUAAUACCGCAUACGACCUACGGGUGAAAGCAGGGGACCUUCGGGCCUUGCGCGAUUGAAUGAGCCGAUGUCGGAUUAGCUAGUUGGCGGGGUAAAGGCCCACCAAGGCGACGAUCCGUAGCUGGUCUGAGAGGAUGAUCAGCCACACUGGAACUGAGACACGGUCCAGACUCCUACGGGAGGCAGCAGUGGGGAAUAUUGGACAAUGGGCGCAAGCCUGAUCCAGCCAUACCGCGUGGGUGAAGAAGGCCUUCGGGUUGUAAAGCCCUUUUGUUGGGAAAGAAAUCCAGCUGGCUAAUACCCGGUUGGGAUGACGGUACCCAAAGAAUAAGCACCGGCUAACUUCGUGCCAGCCGCCGCCGUAA